UACGGAAGGCAGCAGUGGGGAAUAUUGCACAAUGGGCGCAAGCCUGAUGCAGCCAUGCCGCGUGUAUGAAGAAGGCCUUCGGGUUGUAAAGUACUUUCAGUCGUGAGGAAGGUGUUAAGGUUAAUAACCUUAGCAAUUGACGUUAGCGACAGAAGAAGCACCGGCUAACUCCGUGCCAGCAGCCGCGGUAAUACGGAGGGUGCGAGCGUUAAUCGGAAUUACUGGGCGUAAAGGGCACGCAGGCGGUUAAUUAAGUUGGAUGUGAAAUCCCCGGGCUUAACCUGGGAAUGGCAUUCAAGACUGGUUAGCUAGAGUCUUGUAGAGGGGGUAGAAUUCCAUGUGUAGCGGUGAAAUGCGUAGAGAUGUGGAGGAUACCGGUGCGAAGCGGCCCCUGGACAAGACUGACGCUCAUGUGCGAAAGCGUGGGGAGCAAACAGGAUUAGAUACC
rnacentral:rRNA from 1 species